UGUGUGGAGGAAAAUGAGAUCCUGAGUGAAGUCUACAAUGUCAUUGACUCUGAAGAAGGACUCAGAGACCCAUUGGUGUUUAAUGACCCUUGCUGGCCUAUGCAAUGGAAACUGAAUAAGUACUCAACUAAAUGGGAAAGCGUGUAUGAACUACAGUGCUCUCUGGUUAUGCCACAGAGUUCCCCAGAUGAUGUCAGUAAUGCCACUCAUCCUUCCAUCUAGUCAUCAGUAACCAGAGACAAAUAUCCCAUGAACUUCCAGCUACGUUUUUCUCCUUGGUACUUUUUGAGAUUCUG